rnacentral:rRNA from 1 species
CAUACGAGAUGUAGAGAGGUCUCGUGGGCUCGGAGAUGUGUAUAAGAGACAGGGAUACGAUUUGCGCUAGCCCGAGGCUACUUGAUUGGGCAACUGGUCUUGUGGUCUCCCCAUGGCACCAAAUUUUUCCAAAAUUGCCAUCUCAGAACUGCUUACGAAGGGGAAUCCAACUGUAUAAUUAAAACAUAGGCUUGUGAUGCAUCCAAGGGGUGUAUAUCGCAAACUGAUUUCUGCCCAGUGCUCUGAAUGUCAAUGUGACGAGAUUCACCGACGCGCGGGUAAACGGCGGGAGUAACUAUGACUCUCUUAAGGUAGCCAAAUGCCUCGUCUUCUAAUUAGAGACGCGCAUGAAUGGAUUAAUGAGAUUCCCACUGUCCCUAGCUACCAUCUAGCGAACCAACUGCGUCAAGGGAACGGUCUUGAAUGAUUAAGCGGGGAAAGAAGACCCUGUUGAGUUUGACUCCAGUCUCAGUUUGUCGGGCGACAUAGGAGGUGUAGUUAUAGGUGGGAGGCUUGCCGGUUCUGAAAAACCACUUCUUUUAUCGUUGCUCUGCAAAUCCAAUGAUGAGGCAAAGGUGGUUAUGGUUAGGUUCUUCCUUACGGUUGGCCUGCCAUUCGCGUUCUGUUCGAGCCCGGUUUCCGGUGCCUCAGCAGUUCCAAUUCAUCUUUUUCAGCUAUAAAGGUUCCUUCAUUGGAGCCUGAGCCUUCGUUUGGAAACUAGACUGAGAUGGGGAGUUUGGCUGGGGCGGCAUAUCUGCUAAACAUCAACGCAGGUGUCCUAAGGCGAGCUCAGUGAGGACAGAAACCUCACGUGGCGCACAAGGGCAAAAGCUCGCUUGAUCUUAGACUUUCAGUAAUAGUCUAGAACGUGAAAGCGUGGCCAGCGAUCCUUUGAGCAUUUACAUUCAGGUAUAAUGCCAGAGGUGUCAUAAAAAUUACCACAGGGAUAACUGGCUUGUGGCAGCCAAGCGUUCCUAGCGACGUUGCCGUUUGAUCCUUCGAUGUCGGCUCUUCCUAGCCUUGCGCCGCAGUUGACGCAAAGGGUCGGAUUGUUCACCCGGAUGAGGGAACGUGAGCUGGGUUUAGACCGUCGUGAGACAGGUUGGUUUUACCCUACUUAAUCAAAAACUUCUGCAGGUGUGCUGAGGGAAAUACAAUGUAGUACGAGAGGAACUAUUGUUUCGCCUCCCUAGCAACAGCGGCACUCUGAAAAGAGGCGCCGCAUAACCACCAGGCGGUGAUUUAC